UAUUAAUAACAAUAAAUUAUAUCUACACCAUGAUUCAUGCUUCUCAUUACGCUAUCUUACAGGACUGCAAGAAGAGUGUAGCAACCUCAUUGUUUGUCACGGGUAUGUUAACGUCCUGUAGUUAUUGGAGAUGAUACUGUUUUUCAUGCUAUUGGUUGGGAUUCCUCUUACUGUCCAAACUGGGAAAGCAAAGGCUUGGAGAAAGCUAGUUCUUUGCCCAACUUAAAAGUUGGAGCCAAGAUUCGCAUCUGGGAGUCGGUGAGAUGGCUCAGUGGGUAAAGGCACUUGUGGCCACUGCAUGGGUGACCAGAGUUUGAUUCCCCAGGACGCCUGUGCUGGAAGAGGGGAACUGGCUCCUGAAAGAAAAUUGUUCUUGGACCUCCUCACAUGCCAUGAACCAGAAGCCCCAUACACACACUAAAUAACUAAAUGUUCAAGACAAGACAAACAAAAGCUAAGGGUGAAAGAAUCCUGGACCUGGAGAUGAAGGACUGUAAUCCCAGCUUCUCAGGAGGACGAGGUGGGAGGAGCUCCAAGCCAUUCUGGGCAACUUAAGAGACUCUCAAAACCAAACCAAAACCAAUCAAAAGGAACGGAAACUAUGAAAAGUCACCGUGCAGCAGAAGACCUACUCAGCGCAGAUGGGUCCCGUGCCCUAGCACCCAAAAGGAGACUGGCCUCUCGCUGAACCCAGGGGCUGCCUGAACGUCAUCUGAGAGAGAGGAUUCUGCCUCAGUCUCCAAGGACUCCAUGUCUAUGGGUCACUGCGCUGGCCGGAGCUAUUGGAUUCCCAUGAUUCAUUCCAUGGAGAUAUUCAACAUUUUUUUUUUUUUUUUUUGUG